rnacentral:lncRNA from 1 species
CAAUUACGCUGACGACUGGGGUUCUGAACUCUGAGCUUUGAAGACCCCCAGAAACACUUUCUGGCAGGCUACAGAAACAUCAAGGAGAUUGGGUAGAAACAGGAGGGCCAGCUGAUGCUGAGAAAAAUUUGAGGCUCUCGUAUAUACAUAACAUGUGAAUCCACUACUGGGAUGGUUGCCUAGCAACAUUAUUCCCCUCCCCCUCAAGCCUUCUUGUGACAGCCUCACUUCUUUCCUAUUCUGAUAUUAGCUUAAUGUUUUUUUAUGAAUCAGAUGUACAAUAUUUUGGGAAUGGUGUAUAGCAUAAGAGAGUAGAGAGUAGCCUGAUUUACUAGUAUCAUUUGGAAAAUAUACAAUCCAGGCAGCUCUUUUAAAAAGUUAAUGGUCCAUUUUUGGCCAUGUUACAAAAGUAGAUGUUUAGAUUACAAGAAGAUUUUUUAAAAAGGAAAUACCUAAGGAUCCUGCCCUGCGAAGGCCCCAUUCUGCCGCUCUCGUAUUCAUAGCAGAUGUUUAGGUGGACGUUUCCGGUUGUGCAAGGACCCGGUGAUUUGCCUCAGGUGGACGUAAAAGCCAGUCCACCCCAGGUCCUUUCUCCUGACCAGAGAAGCGUAAAGCUGGAAGGUGCAGGAAAACAUCCAGUUGCUGAGCUGACUUCACUGAAGAAGCCCGGAGAGCUGAGCGCAUUUUCAGUCUCCCAAAUACCAGUCGAACUCACUGCAUGAGAAUGCCGUGGAUCGUGUCUUAACCCCCUUCUGCUCAGUCUCACCAGUGAAAAAUGGAAGAUGCAUACUGGCAUAGAAAGAAGAUCACAAGCUUCGGAGCCAGAGAGACUUAGGUUCAAAUUCCAGCUCAACCCCAUUCCUCUCUGAGUGAUGGUAGAUAACUAUUCAAGGUACGUUUUUCUGUAAAGCAGGGAUAAAAAUAUCAUGUUGAAUUAUCGAGAGGAUUAAAUGCCUCCCAUAUCCCAAAGGCAUUUAAUGGCUCACCCAUUCAAAACUCCCCUUUGCACUCCUUUCUUGAAGAUUUCCAUAACCAUGUGGUCCGUCCUGCGCUUUGGAGUUGCCAUUCCUCUACUUCUUCGCUUUCAUUAUUUUCUUUGUCUCACCUAAGCUACUGACUGCCAUGGCCAUAACAUGAACAUUUCAUCCUUGUAAACGCUUGAUCUCUGAAAAUCAGCUUCUUUAUCCCAUUAUCUGACCACCAUCUCCUAUCUUUCCACCUCCCUUCUCUAGAACCUCCUCUCAAACAAUUCUUCAACCUCAACAAGAACUCUAACCCUUUGGUCCUACCACAGUUUCACUAUCAGGCCCUUUAUCGUAUUCUCAUUUAGAGUCCAUGGGCCAUCACUGUAAUCCUCUGCCAGUGGCUUACUUGUCUAGCAAACUUGAAGUCUUGAUUGAACCCAAUUCUCUACUGCCUCUAUACCUUCACUUGGGCAGCUAAUUAUUGCCGGAAAAUAAUGCAUAACUGUGUUGACUGGUUCUAGUUUUAGUUUCAUGACCACAAUCUCAGUUAUGCUUUCAAUGCCACCCUGCAACCUUAUUACGCUUCCCUAGUUCCUUUGUGUUCCCUCCAACUAAUAUGACUAUUUCACCCCUUCUUCACUCCCCUCGAGUCUUUGAUAUUCCCUCCUCGUUUGCCUGAUAUUCAACUGAGGAAACGGAAACGCUUAAGCACACACUCCCUCAGGUGCCUGUACCUCUCCAUACUUCCCAUUAAUCA